rnacentral:rRNA from 1 species
UCCGUAGGCGGUGCGGCAAGUCGAUAGUGAAAUCUCUGGGCUUAACCCAGAGGCUGCUAACGAAACUGCCGUGCUAGAGUGUGAGAGAGGCGAGUGGAAUUACGGGUGUAGCGGUGAAAUGCGUAGAUAUCCGUAGGAACAUCCGAGGCGAAAGCGGCUCGCUGGAUCACAACUGACGCUGAGGGACGAAAGCUAGGGGGAGCAAACAGGAUUAGAUACCCUGGUAGUCCUAGCCCUAAACCAUCAGGACUUGGGGUUUGCCCUGUACGGGGCAAGUCCCGUAGCUAACGCGUUAAGUCCUGCGCCUGGGGAGUACGGUCGCAAGGCUGAA